rnacentral:lncRNA from 1 species
GGCAGUUGAAUAUAUAUAUAUAUAUAAUAUAAUAAAAAUGGAUUCUUAAUUGCUACAAUCUAUGAACGGUAGCAAUUAGAACAGUGUAUUGAUUCCUUUAUCCUCUAAUCCUCUCUCUCACGCGUCUUCGGUUUUUGCCCUAAAUAAUUUGUAAUUCUAAAAUUACCCUUCCAUUCGCAUAUUCACAGUGUACUUUACCCGGUUCCAUCGUCUUUUCCCUUCAUCGAAACGACAGUGUUUCAUUGAGAAACUAUUUCAGAGCUGUUAGCUCCUUCUCUCGACAGUGUAUGGCCAUUCUCUCGUCGCUCCGUCAUCUCUCCAUGGGAUGGUUGCGCCCUUGCGCCCGUCUACCCACCAGCGUCUGCCUCUGCAGUAUCUCACCUUUGCGCCUUCUGAAACCUCCUGUUUCUCACUUCUCCCCGUCCAAGUAUUUUAGCGCCUUUGCGUGCGUCUACACAACGUUCUCCUCUACAAUAUCUCACUGUUGCGCCCUCAAAAACUCCGCUUCGUGCUCACUGCCCAAGAUUCAGCCCAUACCCUGUUUCUAUCUUCUCUUCGUUCAUCUAUUUCAGCGUCUCCAUGCGCGUCUGCUCACCGGCGUUCUCCUCUGCGGUGUCUCAUCGCUGCGCCUUUGAAAGCCCCUUUCUUGCUCACCGCCACAACUUUCAGGCCAUGACUUGUUUCUCUCUUCUCCCCAUCCAUGCACUGUCGUGCAUUUGUGAGGGCGCGACUGUACGCAGGUCUUUGUAUUUUGCCGUCUGUUCUUUUAAUGGCCGCGUAUUGAAGCUCUUUUUAUUUUUUCUUGCUUUGGCCACUAUUGCCUAUUUAUCUCUGCAUCGUUUUCUUUACUGUUGUUUUUCCUCAGAUCACUGAUAAGUUGUUUGCGUUGCUGUGUGCUGAGUAGUGCAAUUGAAAUUUCUUUUUGGUUUUAAUAUCCGUGUAUUAUUAUGUAUGGGUCUUGUAUUCUAUUAGCGUCGACUUGACUCCAUUUGUUUCAAAAAUGUCUUAAUGCACUGGUACUCUCUUUGGUAAGUAAUUCCAGACGUAGCUUCCGUUGGAGGUUUGGCUUUAUCUUAGCUACUGUUUUUUUUUUUAUUUAGCUUUAAUUGUUUGUUUUUUCAAUUUUUUUACGGGUAGUUUAUUAGAUAUGACAUAUAAAUACUCAUUCAAUAUUAUUCAAAAUAUUAUUAGCUCUUUUAAUGGAUUUAAUUGUUAAUUGAUCAUUUAAUAUAAAUUUAUUAACUUUUUUAGUUACAUACUAAGUAUCUGUCGCUCUUCUAUAAUUAUUUCUAAAUUUGGCAAGAUAUCACUAAUUGUAAAAUUUUCUCAGAGAUUCAAAGGUUACGUACUUAUUUUUUUCUAUAAAUAGCAAGUCAUUUUAUCUGUAUGGUUGUCUUUCAAAUUGUUCUUCUAUAAUUUUUUUUGCUUUCUUUUCUUAUCUUUUCCAUGACGUUUUCUUACUAACUUCUCAUUCUUUAUUGUGCAGGGUUGCUAUCCUAACUUGGUUUUUCUUUGGUAUCGCUGCUGCUGUGGCUGUGGUUUUUGCUGCUGUUGAUUUGCCUUGUCUUCCUUUUUAUACUGCUGCUGUAGCUUUCCUUGAUAUUAUUCUGGUAUAUAUAUAAAAGCUGAGAAGUGUGAAUAAUUUAUAAAUUAUUAUUAUUUUAAAUUCACUUUAAAGUAUUGUUAAUAAGUAAAAUGGUGUAAUUUAAAAUCUAUAAUUCACAUGAG